GUUUGAUCUGGCUCCAGAUUGAACGCUGGCGGGAUGCUUUACUGCAUGCAAGUCAGACGGCGGCACGGACUUCGGUCUGGUGGCGAGUGGCGAACGGGUGAGAGUAAUGUAUCGGAACGUGCCUAGUAGCGGGGGAUAACUACGCGAAAGCGUAGCUAAUACCGCAUACGCCCUUCGGGGGAAAGCGGGGGACCUUCGGGCCUCGCACUAUUAGAGCGGCCGAUAUCGGAUUAGCUAGUUGGUGGGGUAACGGCUCACCAAGGCGACGAUCCGUAGCUGGUUUGAGAGGACGACCAGCCACACUGGGACUGAGACACGGCCCAGACUCCUACCGGGGAGGCAGCAGUGGGGAAUUUUGGACAAUGGGAAACCCUGAUCCAGCCAUCCCGCGUGUGCGAUGAAGGCCUUCGGGUUGUAAAGCACUUUUGGCAGGAAGAAAACGGCACGGGAUAAUACCCGUGCAACUGACAGUACCUGCAGAAUAAGCACCGGCUAACUACGUGCCAGCAACCGCGGUAAUACGUAAGUGCGAAGCGUUAAUCGGAAUUACUGGGCGUAAAGCGUGCGCGAGCGGUUCGGAAGAAAGAUGUGAAAUCCAGAGCUUAACUUUGGAACUGCAUUUUUAACUACCGGGCUAGAGUGUGUCAGAGGAGGUGGAAUUCCGCGUGUAGCAGUGAAAUGCGUAGAUAUGCGGAGGAACACCGAUGGCGAAGGCAGCCUCGCAGGAUAACACUGACGCUCAUGCGAAAGCGUGGGAGCAAACGGGAUUAGAUACCCUGGUAGUCCACGCCCUGACGAUGUCCAACUAGCUGUUGGGGCCUUCGGGCAUGGUAGCGCAGCUAACGCGUGAAGUUGACCGCCUGGGAAGUACGGUCGCAAGAUUAAAGCCAAAGGAAUUGACGGGGACCCGCACAAGCGGUGGAUGAUGUGGAUUAAUUCGAUGCAACGCGAAAAACCUUACCUACCCUUGACAUGUCUGGAAUCCCGAAGAGAUUUUGGGAACAAGAGAACCGGAACACAGGUGCUGCAUGGCUGUCGUCGGCUCGUGUCGUGAGAUGUUGAGGUUAGAGCCCGCAACAGCGCAACCCUUGUCAUUAGUUGCUACGAAGGGCACUCUAAUGAGACUGCCGGUGACAAACCGGAGGAAGGUGGGGAUGACGUCAGGUCCUCAUGGCCCUUAUGGGUGAGGGCUUCACGUCAUACAAUGGUCGGGACAGAGGGUCGCCAACCCGCGAGAGGCCAAUCCCAGAAACCCGAUCGUAGUCCGGAUCGCAGUCUGCAACUCGACUGCGUGAAGUCGGAAUCGCUAGUAAUCGCGGAUCAGCAUGUCGCGGUGAAUACGUUCCCGGGUCUUGUACACACCGCCCGUCACACCAUGGGAGUGGGUUUUUUACCAGAAGUAGUUAGCCUAACCGUAAGGAGGGCGAUUACCACGGUAGGAUUCAUGACUGGGGUGAAGUCGUAACAAGGUAA
rnacentral:rRNA from 1 species